UAAUAAUAUUUGCAGUAAGUAAAUUUGCUGUUGUGUAUUUUUAAGCAUAUGAAAUUUGAAUUUUAUCCCUUUUCAGUGUUUUUCCUGAUGGUUUGAGUAAAGGACCAAAAUAUUGAGCUCUGCACACCAACGUAAAAGUGCGUGUAUGUGUGCGCGCGCGCGCGUGUGUGUGAGCUCGUGAGGCUCCUCCGUGACUUCCUUUGUCUUGUAAAUGAGAGCACCUUGAUGUCAGGGGUAAUCAGGAUUAGUUUCGUCACAGAUCAUCCACUCUUCAGCCGCUCUCUCUUUUCCUUUGACCCUUCUUUUGUCACCUAGUCUCUCAGACUAAAUCAGAUAUGACACUUUCAAGACAAAUUAGGGGGGAGGGGGUGUCCCAGUUAAACACAGUUGUGUAUUCGUGUACUCUCUCCGUACCUCGUCUUUUCCUAAACCAGCCGCCUCGCCGGGUCUAAUCCAGCUGUUCAAUUAGAAUUGAGGACAGUGUUGAACUGCUGUACUCCAGCCAAGGCCCGGGCUCUGUGUCAUCAGCCUGUUUUCUCAGCUUAUCUCAUGCUGAGCUGAUAAUGAGAUCUACCUGUUGCCUCCUGCUUCAUCAGCACCAUAAAUGGUGUUCGCUCUCAAAUGCAGCACGAGGUUUUUUUUAAAUGUACAUUUAUCUGAACAGCUCCACCUUAGAGUUCGCACGCUAUCAGCCGGGACGAUCAACACACCACGUCUUGUUUACCAGUUUGCCAAUUAACAGCGGCUGUCCUGAAUCCUCGUUAAUCACCCUCUGGCAUCGGGCCAUGCUUUCUUCCUCCUCAUACCCAUUUCCCAAUCCUCUCAUUAGCUUUGUCCACCUUCCUUUCUUUCUGCUUUCAUUCUUAAAUUCCUCUGUUAUAGAUGCAACCACUCUUCCUCAGGUUGGCGAGUAAAAAUGACAUCAUAAUGCAAAAAAAGGUUGAAAUAUCCCCAUUUCAAGUGUCAGUGCACCAACGUAAUGACCAGAAGCAUCUGAACUGUUUUUGGAAGCCUUACCUUUGUGUCAGUGUCUUGGAUCAGACCGAUGAUGCCUCACUGGAGGGCGUCGUUUUCGUAGAUGUGACUGCUUAGAUUGGGUUGUGAGUCCUGUAUGCAGUGGACAGUGUACAGUUUGGGUUACAGCUGAUAAAUCUGAGAAGAUAUAAAAUAGUGAAAUAGGAAAAAAAAUGAUUCAUACUUUUUCCUCAUCUUUGCCUUAUUCUAAGAUAAAGAGUGAUUUUUAUUUCAGAGUUUUCACUGCUAAUUCAAAUACACCUUCUAGCAUCAGGUCGGACUCAGAACGUUCUUAAUUAUUCAACAAGGUGUUAGACUCAUUUUCAGACAU